GGCCAAACCCGUUUGAAACUCAGAUGCAACAAAAUACUCUUUCUACUACUAUGUUACAAAAUACAAAAAUAUUUUCAAAAUAAAAAUAUUUUUUCAAUAUAAAAUGCUCAUGUGGAUAAAAGAUUUGAGCCCUUUUCCAGUCUUGAAUCGAUAACCUAUGUAUAACAUAUUUUUUAUUUUUAUUGUUAGUGAAUUCGAUUUAUUGAUUGGUCCAUUACCUUGUCAAUAUUUGAAAAGAGAAUAAUUAAUAAUGGAGUAUAGUGGAAUUAUGGUGGGGUCUUCUUCUUCACGUGUUUCCUGCUUCAUUUAUGUCUUUAUUAUUUUGGUUUCUCUCGCUUUCAAAACUUUAAUAAGAUAGUGGAGAUUCUUGUUUUUCGACAAUUCUUCUAACAUGAAAGUAGAGAGAGACAAGUGAAAAUAAACAUGAAAGAGUUAUAGCAACUUCAUAUUAAGGGUAAACCUCAAUUAGAGACCUUAAACCCAGUAUGAGAGUAAUCUUAUAGUCAUUGAAACCAGCUGUAGAAAAUAGCAUACCCCAUUUUUCUUCCCGCCUCUCUUUUCCAUUGAUCACCAUCAUCAUCAACAUGCUAUGAAGUUUGGACACAGACAGGUAAUAUAAGUACGAUAUGAUAGGAACACGACGAUACAAUAAUUUUUAAAAAAUGAGGACACGGAUAUAAUAAGAUAUGAUAAUAAAAAUUUAAUUUUUUUUAUUUUUUUAUGUUAAAUAUUAUGUAAAUAAAAAUAUUGAUAUUUUUCAUUGAUAUAUAAUCAAUUCUUUUCAAUUAAGCUUUCUUGUCAUUACAUAAAAUAUGAUAGGAUUAAUAAAACAAUACCCAUGACAGGACCCUUGGGCUUCCCAAAACACCUUGAAAACAACAACAAUAAAAAGAAAUUAAAUCCAGUCCAGUUUUCUAGACUGCUUCAUCAAGCAUAGAAAAAGGAAUUCUAGAAAAAUCUAAAAGCCAAAUGUACCUCAGAAAACAAAUUUUAGUGGUAAAAACCUUUAAUUUCCUAGACUACUUCAAAACUCUGCUUCUCCUUUCAUUCUCAACUGUGAUUUUUCAAUUCGGGGCCUCUAUCCAACAUGAUCGUGUGAGGAAUAUGUUUGUUUUUAGACACUUAUCUCAGGGCCGUGUCCUAUCUCUCUUUCUUUUGCAUAUUGUAGCGUGUCCCAUAUGUAUUCGGCCGUGUCCGAUUAGUGUCCAUGUCAGACACAUAUACGACACUAAUAUGAGGAGGGAUGAGCCGUGCCCGUGGUUCCUAGUCAGCAUUUCUGAGAAGAACUUUGUUUCAAUCAUCUUCAAAGCAUCAUCAUUUAGUUUCUCAUUCUCCAUUACUACAAUGUCUAUCAUUCAAUUUUAUUUUACUUCACUAGGUUUGAAAAUAGUAUUGAAUGAGUAUAUCUAUAAGUCUUGUUUUGGAAAGCUCUAUUAAAACAUCAUGGACAACUUCAUUAGUUAUCAUUUAAUUAAUUAGCAAGCAGUUAACAAUUUACAUAAUUUAUCCAAUUAUACAUCUCAUGCAUGUUAAACAUACAAUUGUUUUCUAAAACACACGUAUAACAUCUAAGUUUUACCUCAAUGUCCAGUAGCUCUUCCACCUACAGUUACAAGUUAGUCGAACAAUUGAUCAACCCAUUCAUUGAGCAGUCAUAAUCCACCAUUAAACUAUCUAACUAAAAUAGUAAUAAAAGUUUCAAACUAAACAAUUAAAAAGUCCAUAAAGUCCAAUUACAACCCAACAAGUAAAACUAAGUCUAAUGUUAAAUCUCAUAUUUUGGUCCCACAUUGCCUUCCUCAUUUGGAUUGGGAACACUUCAACGUACCUAAGUGUAGCCUUGUUUGUAUCACUUGGAUGACUCACUUCCCCACCUCUUCACAUGUUAUAUCAUUACAAUGAUUUAAAAGAGAGUGUGAGCUUAGCGAAGCUCAGCGAGUGUUUAAACAUACUAUAAGUAAACACAUCAGUCAGGUUUAAAGUAAGCAUACUAUAAUGGUUCACAUUUUAUUACAGCUCACAUGAAAUAGUGACACACACAGCAUAAUAGUUCUCAUAAUAUAAACAGUGCACAUAGGAUAAGCAAUUAACAUAAAAUAGGUAGUUCACGUAAAAUAUCAGUUCGCGUAAGACAACAGUCCAUAUGAAAUAAUAGUUCAUAUAAAAUAGCAGUUCAUACAACAUCAUAACUCAUAUAUUUCAAAUAAUGAUAAAUUGGCAUUUUGUGAUUAUGAAACAUAUAUGUGGACUCUAUCACCACACAUUGGAUAAACGGAUCUCAAUAUAACGUAUCGCUAUUAACUCAAAGAGACCUAUUUUGUCUCUGAUAUAAGUUUAGCAUGAAUGCUAACACUCUCCUUACCCACGACUCAUAGAACCCUGUGCUAUUUCCGGUGAAUGAAGCUAUGCUCUACAUUCCCUUAUCUCUCCAACACAUCUCCGGGCCAGAAUGCCCCAUCACAAUAAGAAGGGUGAGCACUCAUAAUCCUAUGGCUUGCUAACUAUAUCCAAUGGUUGUAAGAGUUGAAAAUGCCAACAUAUCGUUUUAACAUAUUCAUAAUACUCAGGAUAAUAGGGCUCGUAGUUAAGCAGAGCUCACACAAUAUAGCAUAGUUUGCAAUAAAGCAUGAUUCACAAGUAAUAUAGCUUAGAUGCGACAUAUAUUGCACAUAACCACAGUUCACAUAUCAUUCAUGUCAUACCUCACAUAAAUCAUAGUUCGGAUAUCUUAUUUUCCAUAUUACAUAGCUCGCAUAGUUUAUAACAUAAGUCACGUGAUAGCAUGGCUCGCAUACCAUAUAGCACAAAGUAUCACAAUCCAUAGUUCACAAUAUAUUUCACAAUUUGCUUAGCUCAUAUAUAUAGCACAUAGAUCACAUGAUAACAAAGUUCACACACAGUAUGGUUCACACAUAUCAUAUAGGGUUCGCAUAUCAUCCUAGUUGGGUUCGCACACAACAUAUAGAAGGGAUCACAUAACAUUCUAACAGGGUCCACUCACAACAUAUACCAAGUGAUAAGGGUUCAUACAUGUCUGGUGAUAGGGGUUCGUACAUGUCUGGUGAUAGGGUUCGCACAUGUCUAGUGAUAUGGUUCGCACAUGUUUGUGAUAGGGGUUAUACAUGUCUAGUGAUAGGUGUUCACACAUUUCUGGUGAUAGGGAUUCGCGCAUGUCUAGUGAUACGGUUCGCAGUUAUCACACACAACUGGUUCUCAUAUCAUUCAAUCAUAAGUUCGCAUUAAUUACUUAGCAAGUUCACACGUCUUGCCUAGGCUUCCCUUAGCUUGUGUACUAGUGUUUAAAUGAUGUAUACAAGACCACUCAUCUUAACAACCAUUGCUUCAACUAUAAUGCUCAAGUAAGCUUUUAUUUGCCUUUGUCCAUGCUUAUAGAGGCUUCCAAAUGACUUGACACUUCACAUACACAUCAAACACAUUGUAAAGUCAUUACUAACAAUAAAAAACACAAUUAAAUCAUUCCAAAAUCAUAGAUCACAACCUCUAAAUCUCUAUACCAAGAACUUAACUAGUUUUUAAGGUUAGAUUUCUACUUCAUGCAUCCUAAAUAUAAUCUAAUUAUAGAUUUGAGCCAUCAAUUUUAUCCAAUUACACUCAUCUAAUUUUUUGAAAAGAAAAUCAAGCUUAUAUUACCAUCAAGAAGGGGAAAAUGUUUAAUUUACUAAAGGAUUUAUUAAAUCAAGAUUAAAAACCCUUUAGAUUAAAAUGAGUUAGAAAUCACUUUAAAAUAGAAGCUUAGCUAAGAGAUACAAGAUCUACAAUUUUCAAGCCAAGAAUCAACUUAAAAUCAAUUGAUCUAUUACAAUCUUGAUUAAAUCAUUUAAAUCUCAAAUUGAAAUAACAGUUCACUUAGUUUAAUCAUAAAAGGUUAGAAUCUUACCUCAAUUUUGAAAAAUCGACAAGCUAUAGAGCUAUGUCACAUCUUGAAAACUGGGUUUGUAGAAAUUGAGUUAGUGAACUGAGUUAGUGGACUCACCUUGUUUUUACUUAAAUGUUGUGAAAUUGUGUCAAGUGAAUUGAUUUGGUUCAAUGGUUAAAUGUUGUGUUUGUGCGUAAGAGGUCAUGUGUUCAAAUCCUUUCCCUUUAAUUUUUAGUAAUUUUGUUACAACUGCUAUCUUUGAACAUUUGGCUUAUAUAUUAUUUUCAUUCAACUAAUGAUAAAAUGAGUCUGGUCAUUCAGUGGUAAGGCUUUGACUUACCCUUUGGUCCUGUGUUUGAAUCCUUGUGUGUGCAAAAUGAGAAUAUUUUUAUUCCAUUGCUUUGUAACACUCAUGUGAUCAAAAUUUGAGUCAAAUUUCAAUUUCAAAAAAUCUUAUCCUAAUAGGAUAAGAUUUUAUUUUUUGUUAUUUUAUUUUUAUUUUUGAAAAUUAGUUCCCAAAAAAAAUCUCCCACAUUACUAUCCACUUCCUCUCAUGUCUCUCUCUCUCUCAAUUUGUCGUUCAUUGUUUCGUUCCUCCCCAUUUUCUUUGUUGUUUUUUCAAUUUUUUGUUUUUCCUUUGUGACUAGCUAUUGUUUUCUCAACAAUUCUUCAUAAGAUUUCAGCCUUCAUUCUUUUUUCUUGUCAUUCUUAGUCUCUAAUUUGAUUCUUUGGUGUGUUUUGGAGUUCCAGAAUCGUAGUAAGUGUCGUGUAAGUAUGGUGUUUGUUUCGUUAAUUUUUCUUCUAAGAAGGAUGUUUGUAAGUAAGUUGCUCAAGAAAUUUUUGAUUGGUAUUGACUUCUUUUUGACAUUCUCUUUUGUGUGGAAAUUUGCUAGGUGAGGUUCGUGGAUUGCAUGACAUUCUUCCGAUGAGUAAGGAGUUUCCCAAGGCUACCGUUAAUGUUUGUGUAAGUAAAGGAAUGCCGAGAGGUUGAUUUUUGGCUUGUUAAGGCCUUGUAUUAGAGAUUGGAAUCAUAUUGGGGGUUUAGAGUUUAGUGAUUUGUUUCUAAAAUUGCUCGUUCUUAAUGUCAAUUUUAGGUUUUAGAAUUUCAAUUGUGGUGUGGGCAUCGAAAAGCGUUCAGGUGUGUAACGAAAAACCUGAAAAAUAGCAAAUGGCGCGAAGCCAAAAAGUUCACUAUCAAUGUCACACAAUCGUGUGACAAACCGUGUGAGCCACACAACUGUGUGUCAGGCCAUGUGGGCCACACAGACGUGUGGGCACAAUUUUUUUUGUAAAAUUUAGUUAGGGCCAUAUUUGUAAUGCAGUUUGAGGUUAGCCACUUCGUAGGCUCUAAAAUGUGUUAUGUAGGAUUUAUAGUUAUGAAAUGUUACGUUAUGCUUCUGUUAAUAUGAUUUUUGAAAGCAUGACAUUAUAUUCUGAUGCGUAAAGCAUGUAUGACUUAAAAUUCUAAUAUUGUAUGCGUAAUGUCCAAGAGCAAGUUUGUGUUAUAACUUUUGCAUCUUAUUUAUGUUUUGAGUUAUCUCUUUAAGCAUGAUUCAUGUACAUAUAUAUGAGUAUGUAAUAUGUUUGAUAUGUGUAUUGGGGUGGGAUAAUGAUGUGAUGAAGAAAGUGUUGGUAGUUUAACUGCAUAUUGAUAAGCCAUCAUUAUCAGGCAACCCGAGGUGGCGGGUCAUCGUUUUCGAGCAACCUAGGAUGACUUUAUUAGUGGUUUAACCAUAUAUCUGUUCUGGCAGCUUGACUGUAAUUCUAGUGGCUUGGUCACACUUAUUUGAUCCUAACAGAUUACUGUAUUAUAUCAGGCAGCUUGACUGCAUUAUUCUGAAAAGUGAGAUACGCUCGCUUAUAGAUGUGUGGGGUUGGAUGGGUAUUAUUACCCUAACUAGUGUGUAGGGAUGGUCGAAGAUGGUGUGUAGUGGAUGAGGUAGAAUUUGAUUAUGUAUCUGCAUCCGUAUCUAAUUCUAUAUUAGUAAUUGAAUUUAAUUUUUUAUAUUCAUCUAUAUUUGCAAUUGCAUCUGAUUCUGUAUCUGCAUCUGUAACUAAUUUGUCUGCUAUAUUGGUAUUUGUUCUAUUUGUUGGGCUGAGUUACACAUUGAGCUCAUUAGCUCACCUCUUUGUUUUAUCUUUUCAGGCAUUUGACAGAUUUAGGAUUGGGCGGCGUUAGGAAACUCAGACUUGUUAUCUUGCAUAAGUUGGUUAGAAUUAUAAAUAAUUGAACUUUUCUGGACUUCUGAUUUCUAGAUAAAUUUUUAGUUUUAAUUUUGGUUUUUUUAUUUAGUUAAAGUUUUUUUGCAUGUUUUCUGUUAAUUAAAAAAAUCACGUUUGAUUUUCAAAUCAAACGAGCUAAGGAUUUUCCACUGCAAACAUGAAAUGAGUUUUACAAAUGUUAAUAAUGAGAGUUUUAAAAAAUUCUCAAUCAGAAAAAUUAUACAUUUUCCCUUAUAGAAACUAUGGUUUUCAACUUAUCAUGUAACGCCCCAAAAUUUUAAGAAUUUAAUUGUGAGAUUCUGUAGUAAUUAAAUUUCUCUAUCUGUGGUUCUGUGUUUUGUGAUUGAGUUUAAGGUUUGGAGUUCGAGUUACAUUGUUAAAAGUUUUAUUCUUUUAGAACAAUCUCUAUCCAUGCGGUAUAUGGGUAAAAGUAGUUUGUAAGAACCUAUGACAAUAAUGAGCCUGCUGGUUCACUGGUUAAGCAUCUAUCUGUAUUCUAUCUGGUCCCGAGUUCAAAUCUCAUUGUAUGUGUUAAGAGAAUUUUUGCUAGUUGUUGAAGGUAUGUUGGUGGUUAAGACCAAUUUUAUUAAAUUUGGUUAAUGUAUGUAUCUUUUCUUCUUCUUUCUUUUUUUUUAUUUUUUUAUUUUUCCUUUUCUUUCUUUGUUUUACUUCUUUGAUUUCUUCUCGUCGAGUGUGUUCAACAUGUGAUUAUCGGAAAUUAGUGAGAUCUUUACGUUUUUAAAAGACUUCUGUAUAAGUUCUGUCGGAUUCCUUUCACUUUUGCAAUGUUUGGUUAGAUUCUUGUUACGGUGUUAAAUUGGGAAUUAUCAAACUGCUUUUCUUAAACUCUCUGUUAACUAGUCGUUUUGUUCCCUUAGGUGUGAGUACAGAGGGAAGCGACCCUUCGCGUGUUGUGCCGAAUUAGCACGGUAGAAUUGUCGGUAAGCAUUUGUCGUUGAAGUUCCCUCGUGUCGAUUUAUUCAACAUAAUUGGCUGUGUAUUAAUGUUGUGUUAAUUAGUCGUUUAGACAAAUGAUUGAUUCCUGAAUGGUUAAUUAGGUUUCGGGUAAUCUCCAUAUUUUUUUCCAUCAAAAUGAAACCAGGUGUGUAUCGAAAACCUUAAUUUUUACAAGUUUUGGUCGCCAAAAAUGGUGGCUGUCGACACUACACGGCCAGGCACACGGGCGUGUGUCCAGGCCAUGUAAGCCACAUAGUCGUGUGGCAGGCUGUGUAGUUGGUCGUGUAACUCACUGUUUGUCGAUUUGGGGCCACACGAGCAAAGGACAUGGGCGUGUGUCGAGGCUGUGUGUGGCCAUAUUAAUGCAGGGUUCACACGAGCAACGAACACGGACAUGUGUCAGGGUCAUGUAACUUACUAUUUGUGGUAAAAGACCACACGGACAAGGCACAUGGGCAUGUGUCUUGGCCGUGUCACUCACUGUUUGUGGAAUAAAACCACAUGGCCAUGGACACGAGCGUGUGUCCAGGCCAUGUAACUCAUUGUUUAUGCUUCGGAACCACACAAGCAAAACACAUGGGCGUCUAACCAGGCCGUGUGGCAUGUUAUUGGGAAAUCUGUUUUUAAGGCCAUGAAUGUUAUUUAACACUAACACUGGCUUCCCCUUUGUAUGAAUGAUUGAAUUGAUUAUAUGGAAGUUGUCUAAUAUUCUGAAACUGAUGUAUGCAUAAGAUAGUGGUAUGUAUACUAUGAUGCUUAUUCUGAGAUGGCAUUGUUUUAUCUGUUUGGGAAAUAAAUUAGAAUGAUUGAAUAUUUGGUACGAGAUUUGUACUCUGUAUUUACAUGGGUUUGGGUAUUGCGGAGCAAGAAGUAAUCUGUAUAGAAAUAGUGGUUCAGCCACAAUGUGCAUAAAUUUUAUUCUGGCACUGCGUUGCCUUCAGACCUAACAGCUAAGUUGCGUAUCUGUAAAAGUGUCAAAUGAGACUCUAAGGUGUGUAAGGUUUAUUGGGCAUUGAAUGUCCUUAACGGUACGUUGGGAUGGUCGAAAACAGUGUGUAGCAGUUGGUUUAGGAUUACUACAUCUAAAUCUAAUUUGUAUUGUAUUGUAUCUGGGACUGAAUUUGUAUAUAAACAGAUGUAUAACUCAUCUGCUCUGAAUUAUGAAUUGAAACUUCAUUUGUAUCAAAGUAAAUCUUUGAAUUUGGAAUUAUUUUAUAAGUGAGCACUAGUUGAAAAAUUUUCUUUUACGCCAUGAGUUCACUACUUAUUUUGUUAUUGAUUGAAUUUCAGAUGGAUCUUAGUCAUGAACGGACCGGUGCCGCAGAAGCUCGGUCAAGCUUUUAACUUUCUCUUAAGUAUUAUGUUAGGACUUCAGUAAUCUAUGAUAGUAGAACUUUGGAAGGUUAUGAACUAACUAAUCUUUGUGAUGGAUAUUUUGUGAAGCAUGGUUUAGUAUUAUUGUGUUACUUGUGUGGUAUGUGAGUAUCAACGAUGUAACUCUCUAAACUUGGGUUGAACGUCUAGGCUGGGUUUGGGGUGUCACAUAUCAUCUUUGAAAAUCCGUUGCAAACUUAGGUAUCACAUUAUGUGCUUUUCCGAAAAAUAAAUAAUAUUUGUGUGUGGUUUUCUAAAAGAAAAACAUGUAAGAGUUUUGUCAAAAAUAAUAUUUUCAGAUCUUACAACUUCCAAAGCUAGCUUUGAUUUGGGUUUUCAAACGGGAAGUGUUACCUCCAGGUCUGGCAUAUUGUCUAGGUCAAGUUUGGGGUGUUACAAGCUAAUUUGAGCUACAAUGUGUGAAGAUCUUUUGAGGAUGAAAACGUGAUUAAUCUUCAAAUUUGAAAAGAGAUUUUAUGUUUGGAGAGCAUAGAAAUAAAAAAAAAAGAAUGAAUUAGUUUCGGAAGAAAAGCAUUAAUUUGGUGUUUGGCAAAUUUUUGAAAGAGAUAUGAAGGGAAAGAAUGGUGGGGUUGCUAAAUAGGCAACCAAUUUUUAAAAAUUGGGUCAUUGCCCAUUUAACCACCUCCAGUUUCCUCCGUUUUCCAAGUAAGUUCUUGCUUUACAAUUAAAACCAAUUUAAAAAUUAUAUUUAAAUCAAACCUCGUUUUUAAAUAUGUUUUAACCAAAUUAAUUCUCGGACACCUAAUUUAAUUUCUUAACCUAAAAUUUUAAAUUCUAAUUAUUUUAAUACUUUAUUUAAUUAAUUCUGAAUUAUUUUAUUAUCUAACCUAAUUACGAUUUUGGAUUCACUAACCUAAUCUGAGAUACCCAAAUCUACUAACCCGAUUUUUGGGGUGUGACAAGACUUGCUACCAACAGUCCUUGUUUACAUUGUUUGUUAUUAUUAUAUUGUAUUAAACUUAUUUAGUUGUUAUUUAAUAGGGAUUGUGAUAGAUCUUCUUUAUGUUAGCAAAUAUCGGAUCUCUAUAUAAUUGUGAGAUUUGUAUAGCUUAUUGUACUUAGAAAUGAGAGCACUUAAUUUGUUCAAGUGAGAAACAUUAUUUGUGAGAGUGCAUUUGAUUGUAAAACAUUUGUGUUGUGGUUUUACAUGGUAAGUUCGUAGGGGUGAAAUUGGUGGUGAGGGUUUUAGUCUUCAAAGGUACAAAAUUGAGGAAAUUGUCACUGAGGUGUGAUAAAUUUAAGGUCACUUGUUGUAAGUGAUUGAAGAUAAUGGAUACUUCUUACUGAGUUAAACUCCGCAAACGUACGAAAAUUGAAUUGCAUUAACAAAAUUUGUCGCCCACUAUUUUAUUCCUUAUUUGACAGUGCUUGAAGAAGUGCCUAAACCCUAAGUCAUUCCUUCCAAGCACAUAGCUUAUCUUUUAGCAACUGCUUGGGCCAACAUUUGAUAUUAGAGCUUUUCACUUAACAUUGCUACUGAAAUCCCUAUUGUUGUUUAAUACAAGCUAAGGAAGGAUCAUCUACCUCACGUCCCUGAUGCUGGAAAUUGACCAUUAUGCUUACUAGAAAGACUGCUUGAAAGUUUAUAUUAAUCCAUUGGUGAGAAGUUUUAAACAAUUAAUGAAUACUGAAAAUGAGUUUAUUUUUAUUUUAAAAUGAAUUAAAAGUAAAAUUUAAAUAGUUUAAUAAAAGCUUAGUUCUUUUUUAUUUAAUAUGAAAUGAAUUUAUUCAAAAAAAUUAAUAAAAUUAAGAAUCCUACAUAAAUAAAACUUAUUAAUGAAAAAGUCAUUUUCAUCCGUUUAAAACAUUUUUUUAUUUUUUAUUGUUAUGAAUUAGAUCUAUUGAUAGAUUGCAUUACCUUGUCGAUAUUUGAAAAUAGAAUAAUUAAUAAUGGAGUAUAGUAGAAUUCUAUCAAGAUUUCAUCCCUACAAUUAAUUAUUUGUUGGGACAAUAAUCUAUAGGAAGGAUUAAUUUGAGGAUGAGGAAUUAUCACAUCGGCUCGCUUUCUUCCUUCCAUUCUUAGUCCAAGAGAACCCUUUAUUUAUUGUUUAAAGACGUGUUGCAACAAACUAUGUAUUUUGCCAUUGACAUGAAACCUGCCUCUUAAUUGUAGUAAAAAUUAUUAUUAGGAAUAUUCAACUAAAAAAAAAUCAUUUCAAGUUUACUAGAUAAAUAGAAUAUAAAUUUUACUCUAUUUAGACAUAGGUAAAUAAAAAUUCAUAAUCAUAAUAAUGAAUAAUUUAAUAAUAAAUUUAAUAUUUUAUUAAAACGAAAAAAAAAGAAUUACAUAGAAUAAUUAGAACAAUAUAAAUUUGAUAGAAUAGAAUAAAUGGAAAAGGAGUCAAAAUGAUAUAAUACAAAAAAUUUAGUCUAUCUAAAACAAAACAAGGGAUCAUAUGAAAAAUAUAAUUGAUUCUUUCGUUUCCUCGGGUCACUAGCCAUCUGUUGGGAGUUUUGAGGUUAAUACUGAUAUUUUAGCAUCAAAACUAAUUAAUCUAACUGUAGUUCUUCGUGUAUUGAUCUUUUUUGAAAAGAGAGUGUGUGCAAGUUGUUUAUUUCAAGAAUAGGUUGGAUUCACCUAGUUGUACUUUUUUUUCAUUAUAACUAGGAAAGAAAAGAGUGCAUGGUCUCGCAAAUUUCUUUUAAAUAAAUUUUAAAAAUUAUAUUCUAAAACUAUAGUAUUUCAUGAUUCAUUGGUACAUCGACUUUGAUUCUCUAUUAAUCAAUAAGUAAGGCUCAUUAACAUGGUUAAUGCCAAACCCGUUUGAAACUCAGAUGCAACAAAAUACUCUUUCUACUGCUAUGUUACAAAAUACAAAAAUAUUUUCAAAAUAAAAAUAUUUUUUCAAUAUAAAAUUCUCAUGUGGAUAAAAGAUUUGAGCCCUUUUCCAGUCUUGAAUCGAUAACCUAUGUAUAACAUAUUUUUUAUUUUUAUUGUUAGUGAAUUCGAUUUAUUGAUUGGUCCAUUACCUUGUCAAUAUUUGAAAAGAGAAUAAUUAAUAAUGGAGUAUAGUGGAAUUAUGGUGGGGUCUUCUUCUUCACGUGUUUCCUGCUUCAUUUAUGUCUUUAUUAUUUUGGUUUCUCUCGCUUUCAAAACUUUAAUAAGAUAGUGGAGAUUCUUGUUUUUCGAAAAUUCUUCUAACAUGAAAGUAGAGAGAGACAAGUGAAAAUAAACAUGAAAGAGUUAUAGCAACUUCAUAUUAAGGGUAAACCUCAAUUAGAGACCUUAAACCCAGUAUGAGAGUAAUCUUAUAGUCAUUGAAACUAGCUGUAGAAAAUAGCAUACCCCAUUUAUCUUCCCGCCUCUCUUUUCCAUUGAUCACCAUCAUCAUCAACAUGCUAUGAAGUUUGGACACAGACAGGUAAUAUUAGUACGAUAUGAUAGGGACACGACGAUACAAUAAUUUUUAAAAAAUGAGGACACGGAUAUGAUAAUAUAUGAUAAUAAAAAAAUAUUUUUAAUGUUAUAAGUGUUGAUGUGAAUUGAUAAAUGUUAGUUAUAAUGACAACUUGAUGAAAGUGAUUAUAUUUGGCUAUUUUGAUGGAGCCUUGAUUAUGAAAAUGUGGUUGAUGUCAUAUGUUCUCUUAACUUGAUUAUUUGAAUGAUUAAUAUUUGUUUGAGGUGCCUUUGAUUGGCAUAUUGGUUAGGUAUAGGAUGGAUGAAUUUUUGGCAUGUAAUUGAUUAUUUGACUGUGAUUUUGAGCUUAGGAAUGGAUCUAGAUAUGAUAUGAAUUGUUACUCAACGAAUGAUGUAUGAAAUGGCUUGAAUUAGGGGUUAAAUAUACUACACACAGCCUAGGACAUGGGCUGUCACAUGGUCGUGUGACACACACAGUCCACUCACACAACCGUGUGUCUUAUUGUCUUUAGGUGCAGGUUUCACACGACCUGACACACGGCUUGCGACAUGGCCAUGUGACCUUAAUUCGAAUAUCCACACGGGCAAACACACAGGUUGGGACAUGGUCAUGUGUCUGUAUUUCAAACGACCACACAUUCUGGACUGUGACACACUGAUUGGCCACACGGCUGUGUGUCUCCCAUUUUCAAAUUUUUAGCCUUUUUUUUCUAAUUUUUCAAUUAUUUUGAUUUGACCCUAAAAUGUUCCUAAACUAUUUUUAGGGCCUCGUAAACUUGGUUUAAGGUCCAUAAGUGUAUGUUUGUUAUGAUUGGAAUGUAAUAUGAUUAUUUUUAUUUAUGGUUGAAUAGUAAUGUUAAAUGUUUAAAUUGUUACCAUAAUACUCUGUGACCUAACUUCGGCGACAGAGAUGGGUUAGGAGUGUUACAAACAUUAACUCUUUCGACAUUUUAAAUGCAGUUUAGGGUUGUUGUUUUUUGCAAGGGUAAGUGGAUAGAAGUUCUAAUUAAGGGCUAGUUUCAUUUAGUUUGUAAUAAUCUAUUAUUUGCGUACUAUUUAGUGGUCGGAUUUAGUAUGAGAUUUGCUAAUUGGUUCAUUCUAAAUGUCAUUUUUAUGUGUUGGAAUUGUGACUGUUGUGUCAGCAUCAAAAAAUGACUAGGUGUGUAUCUUUUAUCCCGAAAAUAGUGAACAUCGCAAAGCCGAAAAUUAUAUUGUUAAUGCCACACGGUUGUGCGCUAGCCCGCAUGAGACACAUAGUCGUGUGCUAGGCCGCAUGGGCCUAUUUUUAGUAAAAUUUAGUUAGGGUCAUGUAUGAUGUGCGAUUCAAUGUUAGCCACCUCGUAAGGUCUGUUAUGUGAAUGUAUAGCUUAUAUGUACAAAAUAUGAUAUUCUUCUUCUGUAUGUGUAACUUUUGGAAGCAUGUUUUAAUUUCUAAUGUGUAAAGCAUGUAUGAUUUGUAUGCAUCUGGAUGUAUAUGGAUAGUGAUUGCAUGUGCAUUGGGUGGGAUUAUGAUGUGAUGAAGGAAGUGUUGGCAGUUUAAUGAUCUGUCUUAUCCGGUGGUUUUAACCACAUAUUUGUUCUGGUGGUUUGACCACACUUAUCCAGUUCUAGCAUAUUACCACAUUAUUUUUGGCAGCUUGACUGCACUAUUCUGAAAAGUGAGAUACGCUCACUAUAUUGGUGUGUGGGGUUGGAUGGGUAUUUAUUACCCUAACUAGUGUGUAGAGAUGGACGGAGAUAGUGUGUAGUGGAUGGAGGUAGGAUUUGUGUUUUUAUUUGUAAUUGAUCUGUCUGUCGUAUUGCAUUGCGAGAUAUGCCAUGCUUUCGUAUUUAUCCGAUUUCUAAUUUUUAUGUAAAUUUGCUAUCUAAUUUCUUUGUAUGGGGCUAAGUUACACACUGAGCUUUUUAGUUCACCUUAUAUUUUUAUCUUAUCAGGUAAUCAGCAAACGUAGGAUCAGGUGGCAUGCGGGAUGUAACACUCCAAAACCAACCUAGACGUUAUGGCCGAAUCUGGGAGUGCUAUGAAGAAGAGUAUUCAAAACAAUCUUGUUAUGUUAAAAUGACUAAAAUUGAAUCCACAUCUUAUCAAACAUAUUAUUAUUAUCGUUAAGGAAAAUAUUGUUAAUUUUCUCUUUCAGAAACCUUAUUUCGCAGUGAAAGUUUGAUAUAGUUAAAGUUGAACACUGAGUUUGUGUUUUUAGAAAAACAUUUGUUUGUGUAAAACUGUAGUUUUGUCAAACUUCGUAAUAUAAAAGUCAAAAACACACCCAAAAUCGAAAUUAAAACAAACAGUCCAAAGAGUCUCAAAAUUACAAAACUCUAAAAAAUAAAUAAGAUUUUAAAUAAAAACGUAAUUAAAACAGUUCGCAAACUAGUGGACACUGCUGAGGAUCCGUCGCACCGACCUGCCUAUAUCUGAGGAUUACCUAAACAGAACAGACAAACAAAUGUGAGUUUUCAUAAACUCAGUGUGCAAUUCAACAGAAACAUACAUGCAUCAAUUUCAGAAUUUCAGUAUAUCAGAACAGAAGCAGACAUAAGUCCUUAUCAGAAUCAAAUUAUCAGAUACAUACAGAUAUGCAAAGUCCUACCCCAUCCUCUACAAACAAUCUACAACCAUCGCAACACACCACGUGGGGUAUGAAACACCCACCCCGCCCUACACACCACAUAGUAUCCGUACGACACUUAACAGGAUAGUUUGCGGUCAAGUUGCCAGUAUAUCGGCGAAAUGUCGCCUCAUAGAACACUUACUCGACAUAUACAAAUUCCACCCCAAACACAAAAACAAAUAAAAAAUAAAAGGUAUAACAGAAUUAACAUGUCUUGCAUGCUUAUAUACAGGUACAUACAUGUUAUUACGAACCAGUCAAAUCAUACCUAUAAAUUUUUAAAUGCUCAAAUCAGUCUAUCGGAUUAGCAAAUAUCAUGCAUUAGGGUUUGCAUUGCCCUUACCGACCCCACGGAAAGCCCAUAGUCUAUCAGAAUGACUUAUGUGACCUUAGAGAAAAUUUUAAAAUUUUGGGCCAACAUGUCUGUGUUGGCCCACACACCCGUAUGACCUACACACCUAAAUUGGCCAUGCUCGUGUAGCUAAUAUAGCUUGGCCCAUGGCCCACACGCACAUGUGGCAUGCUCAUGUGGCCCACACGCCCAAAUCGGCCUAGCUCGUGUGACCCACACAGCCACACACUCGCUCGUCACACAGGUGUAUCUCGUACAUGGUCGGCCACACGCCUGUGUGAAGUCCAUAGGCCACUUUUUUGGCUUUUUUCAAACCUCGUUUUCUAGUAUUUACAUUACACACCUAGCUCGUUUUCGAUACAAAAUCAACGCCGAGACCAUUGAACCUUGAAAACAGCAUUCCAACGCCCAAUUUCAAUAUACAUUUACGAAACUCAAACAAAAUUAUUCUGAAACAAAGCCUCGGAAUAGAAUCCAAUCGUAUUCACACACUUACCGCCAAUGAAUAGAAAAUCACUAACACGGAUUAAGCUGUAGUAGCAAAAUCCUCUACUUCACAAUAUUCUCCUACGCAACACACUCACAAAUAUUAAUCUCCCUAACUACAACACCAACACGCCUAUUCAAAAGGAACGAAAACCAAACGAAACGAACUUGUAGACUUACCAAGAUGAAUGAAAAACAACCGAACACCGAACUCCAAAGAUUAAAAUGAUUGAUUGGUUGAAUCGAACAGAGAGAAAGAAAAGCAAAAAUUAGUAGAAAAAGAAGGGAAAAGAGAAAAAGAAAAGAUAACAAAAAUCGUCACAAUGCUAGAAAGAAAGGGAAUUUUUUUGGAAAAAGAAAUAAUAAAAAUAAUAAUUCAAAACACCCAAAAUCCCAACUCCCUACUAACCACCUUAUCCCCCUAGAAUCCUACCCACUAACCAGAUCCAAUUACCUUAGAAUUUUACUUCCACCGAACCUUUAUUAAACAAUCGAAGCAAAAACAUCAUCCAUUCUUACACAGGGAUUCAAACACAAGACCUUAGGUCAAGCUAACACCUUACCACUCAAACCAGCAAGCUCAUUCUGAUAUGAUUUCACUAGCAAUAAAAUAUAAGCCAAACCACUAAUGAUAAGGCUAGGAUAAAAAAAACAAAAUUUCCCAAAAGUAGGACUUGAACCCAAAACCUCAAACACACACUUCCAUCACUAACCACUAAAGCAGAUACUCAUUUAUGAAAGAUUUCACAAAAAAAAACUUUAAAUUAAAUAGGGUGUUACAACUCUACCCCCUAAAAGAAAUUUCGGCCUCGAAAUUUACCUAAUCCAAAUAGAUGAGGAUACUGCUAACGCAUCGAGUCCUCAAGUUCCCACAUGGCUUCCUUAGUGCCAUGAUUCUGCCACAGCACCUUAACUAACAGAAUAGACUUCCUCCUCAGAAUCUUUACAUCUCUAUCCAAAAUCUAAAUUAGCUCCUCCUCAAAUGUCAAGUCCGGUCUAACAUCGAUCUCCUCAAUAGAAACAACGUGAGAUGGAUCAGACUGGUACGGCCUCAACAUAGAGACGUGAAACACAUCAUAGAUAUGGUCUAACUCCGAAGGUAGCUCCAACUAAUAAGCAACCAGUCCCACAUACUUUAGAACCCAAUAUGGCCUAAUGAACCUAGGGCUCAACUUGCCCUUACAUCCGAACCGAAGAACCUUCUUCUACGGAGAUACCUUAAGAAAGACAAAGUCACUCACAGAAUACUCGAUAUCCCUCCUUUUUAGAUAUGCAUAGGACUUCUAUCUAUUAGAAGCUACCUUAAGACGAUCCCGAAUCAGUCUGACUUUAUCCUCAAUCUCGAAAAUGAACUCAGGACCCAAAACCCGUCGUUCACCGAACUUAGUCCAACAUAGUGGAAUACGACACUUACGACCAUACAGAGCCUCGUAAGCUGCCAUAUGGAUACUAGACUAAAAAUUGUUGUUGUAGGUGAACUCAGCUAAAGGCAGAAAGUCUUCCCAACUCCUUCGGAAAGUAAUCACACAACUUUGAAGCAUAUCCUCCAGUAUCUGAAUCACCCUCUCCAGUUGACCAUCGGUCUGAGAAUGAAACGCAGUAUUGAAGUCCAAUCUCAAACUCAGUGCUUCAUGAAGUUUCUUCCAAAACCGAGAAGUGAAGUGAGGAUCCCUAUUAGAAAUUAUCGAAAUCGGAACCCCGUGAAGUCUCACAAUAUUAGAAAUAUAAAGUUUAGCCAACUUCUGUAGAGAAUAAUCUGUCCAAACCGAAAUGAAAUGGGCGGACUUGGUCAAACGACAUACGAUGACCCAUACAGAAUCCUUCUUAGUAGGUGUUAAAGGUAACCCACUAACAAAAUCCAUCGUCACAUGUUCCCAUUUCCAUAACGGAAUCUUAACGGGUUAGAGGAAACACGAAGGCAACUGGUGCUCAACCUUAACUUGCUGGCACGUCAAACAUCGAGCAACGAAAUCUGUUACCUCACAUUUCAAACCCAACCACUAGUACAGUUCACGGAGAUCUCGAUACAACUUAUUUCCACUAGGGUGCAUAGCAUAAGGACUACUAUCUGCUUCCAUCGAAAUUUACUGUUUCAAACCGGAAUCGUUCGGUAUACAAACCCGUCCUCGGAAACACAGAAUCCCAUCCUUAUUCCAUUCAAAAUUAGAUGUACUAUCACUCUCAACCUGACGAAAUCGUCAAACCAGAGAAUCAUCCCUCAACUGCUUAUCUCGAAUCUGAUUAAUCCAAGUCGGCUUAACUUGAAACUCGGCUAACGAACUUCUAUCAUCAAACAAAUUGAGAUGAGCGAACAUCGCCCUCAAAUCAGACAUUGCUAUACGACUGAGAGCAUUGGCUACCACAUUGGCCUUACGGGGAUGAUACUCUAUCGUACAGUCAUAAUCCUUGAGCAACUUAAUCCAUCUCCGCUGCCUAAGGUUCAACUCCUUUUGAGUAAGGAGGUAUUUGAAGCUCUUGUGAUCGGUGUAGAUGAUACACCUCUCACUAUAUAGAUAGUACCUCUAGAUCUUUAAAGCAAAAACCACGACAGCUAAUUCAAGAUCAUACGUCGGAUAAUUUUCCUCGUGUAACUUAAUCUGUCGGAAUGCAUAAGCCACAACCUUACCAUCUUGCAUCAAUACACAUCCCAAACUGACAUUCGACGCAUCACUGUAAACCACAAACUCUUUACUAGAUUUAAGCUAUAUCAGAACAAGAGCCUCAGUUAAAAUAGUCUUGAGCUUCUCAAAGCUCGAUUGUUGCUCAUCAGUCCAGACAAAAGGAACAUUUUUACACAGAAGCUUAGUCAGAGGAGCUGCAAUCAACGACAACCCAUCAACAAACAGCCGAUAAUAACCUGCAAGACCUAGAAAAUUAUGGAUCUCAGAAACAGUCUUAGGUUGUUUCCAAUCAAGUACAGCCUUAAUCUUUCGAAGAUCAACUCGGAUCGCCUUAGUAGAAACCACGUGCCCUAAAAAUGUUACUUCCUGUAACUAGAAUUCACAUUUGCUCAACUUAGCGUAGAGCUAUUUCUCUCGAGGUAUCUGAAGCAUUACUCUAAGAUGCUCAUCAUACACUUCCUCGGUCUUAGAGUACACCAAAUAUUUUCGAUAAAUACUACAAAAAAUUGAUCCAAAUACAGCUGGAAAACUCAAGUCAUCAGAUCCAUGAAUACAGCUGGAGUAUUCGUCAAACCAAAAGGCAUGACUAGGAACUCGUAGCACCCAUAACGAGUCCUAAAAGUCAUCUUAAAAAUGUUAGCUUCCUUAACCCAAAGUUGAUGAUACCCAGAAUGGAGAUCUAUCUUAGAGAAUACUAAAGCCCAUGAAACUGAUCAAACAAAUCGUCGAUCCUCAGAAGUGGGUACUUAUUCUUCAUAGUUAGCUUAUUCAAUUGUCGGUAAUCCAUAUACAACCUCAUGGUACCGUCCUAUUUUUUUACGAACAAAACUGGUGCCUCAUACGGAGACACAUUAAGACAGAUAAAUCCACGAUGCAAAAGCUCCUGAAACUGAGUCUUUAGCUCCGUAAGCUCUUUCGGUGCCAUUCGAUAUUAAACGAUAGACACUAGAGCUGUACCCGGUAGAAGCUCAAUGCCGAACUCAACUUCUCAAUUCAAAGGUAAGCCCGGUAAUUCCUCAAAAUAUACAUCCGAAAAUUCCCUCAUUAUUUUGAUGUUACAAAUAGAAGAGUCCCUAGAAAAUUAAAUACUUACAAAGGCCACAUAUGUUUCACACCCUUUUCGAACUAGUUUUUCGGCUACUAGAGCGAAGAUCAAUUGGAUAAGUAUUCUCGACGCUCGGCGACCACAACCACUUUCACAUCAACCUCGAUUCUCAAAACGACCCUCUUAGUCACGUAAUCCGAAAUGACUCAGUGCUCUAGUAACCAGUUUAUACCCAAAAUCAAGUCGAACUCUACAAAUGUUAUCUCCAUCAAAUUUUCCAGAAACAUAACCCUUUUAACCUCCAGCGGUACAUUCCUAUACAGUCUAUUAACCCGAACAGAUUGACCUAAUAGACUCAGUAAAAAAAUCUCACCAGAAGUACACUUUACAGUAAUCCUCAAGUUUCCAGAAACAGUACUAGCUACAUACGAGUGUAUUGACCCUAUGUCUAUCAAAGUAGUAUAAGGGGCGACCAAAAUAAUGAACGUACCCGUAAUCACAUCAGGGGCGUCUCUGUCCUUUCGGCAUCGAGCAGCAUAUACCAAUGAAAUCUGUCUCGCCUCACUCUGAUUAGGACCUCUGCCCAGUGCUCUCUAUCCUCUACCCAAACAUUACCACCCCUGGCUGGACCACGACCCCUAGAUAGUUGCUGUACUGCCCUCUGAAGCUGAACAAAAUCCAGACCCGUAGCUUGUAUAUGAUCAGAAUACCUUAGAAAAUAUUUAAUUCGAUGGUCCAACGACCCACAACGCAGACAAUCCCCUAAUCUCCUCCAACACUCGUUCAGAUGGCGCCUACCACAAUCGCUGCACGAUUGAACCCCAGUAGGAGCAACUGAAACUCCCACUCUAGGAGGCCCAUCAGGUUUGGCCUAUUUCUUAAGCCUCUAAACAGAACUAGAGGGCUCCGAUUCCUUCUUAUUCUUACCUCUCUCACGAUCCCUAUUUUGGUGCUCCGCGCGCUUAACCUCUUCUGCGAUCUUCGCGUUAUCCACCAGAAUAGCGAACUCUCUCUCCCUCUACGGAGCAAUCAAUACUCUCAGAUUAUCCCUCAGACCAUCCUCAAAAUAUACGUACUUUUCGUACUUAAAUGUCACCAUGCCUCGAGCGUAGCGGCUCAGUCUCAAAAAUUCGGCCUCAUACUUGGUCACUCACUUAUCUCCCUGAGUGAUAUUCAUGAACUCACUCCUGCGAGCAUCCACAUCACUCGUUUCCAUAUAUUUCCUCUAAAAGGCAGUUUUAAAAUACUCCCAACUAAUCCAAUUCGAUUAAGUACCCUCCUCAAUCGAUAACCAUCACUGAUAUGCCUCGUCGCGAAGCAAAAAAAUUCACCCUUCAGUUUCUGCUCAGGAGUGCAGUCGAUGUCGUUCAUUAUUCUCUCGGUGGCCUCCAACCAAUAUUUGACCACAGUAGGAGAAACUCCAAUGACACCCCUAAACAGUUCAGCUCUAUUGGACCGGAGUCGUUAAGUUACUGAUCUACGGCCCCCAGAUCUAGAAUGGGGUCCAGCGGCCCUCUCAAAAAAAAUUUAAGCAUGGCUUGAGAUAAUGCGUCGUCCUCCGCCAAGUGACUUUGAGACCCAGUCUCGGUAAUAGGUGAAAUUGGUGUCUCGCUCGUAUCCAGAUUUGGCAUACUGCAUAAAAAGAAUGACUCAGCUUGAGUACCCCUACGACACCCGCCGUGCCCACGAAUACUAUGACCGUGAGUUCUACGAGCGCUCAUUGUUCCAAAAUUUUAUCUACAUUACAAAAUUUUAUGCAUCGGUUUCUAUGUUUAUUACCAAAUGUUUUGUUUCUAGCUAACUCAAUAUAGUUUCAAAUAGUUCUAACUACAGUAUUUCUAAGUCCAGAAGUACUUACAGGAUCGUUCCUUUUCUAAAUUCAAUUUUGAACACAAAAUUCACAGCCUUAAUUUUGUAACCUGGCUCUGAUACCACUAAAUGUAACACCAUAAAUCCGGCCUACACGUUACGGCUGAAUCUGGGAGUGUUACGAAGAAUAGUAUUGAAAAUCAUCUUGUUAUGUUAAAAUGACUAAAAAGAAAUCCACAUCUUAUCAAAAAAAAUUAUUAUUUUCGUUAAGGAAAACAUUGUUAAUUUUCUCUUUCAGAAACCUUAUUUUGCAGUGGAAGUUUGAUAUAGUUAAAGUUGAAAACCGAGUUUGUCUUUUCAGAAAUUAUAUUUGUUUGUGUAAAAUCGUGGUUUUGUUAAACUUUACAGUAUAAAAGUCAAAACCACACCCAAAACUGAAAUUAAAACAAACAGUUUAGAGAGUCCCAAAAUUACAAAACUCUCAAAAAUAAUCUAAAUUUUAAAUAAAACCGUAAUCAAAAUAAUUCGCGAACUACUGGCCACUGCUGAGACUCCGUUGCACCGAUCCGCCUUACCUGAACAGAAUAGACAAAUAGAUGUGAGUUUUCAUAAACUCAGUGUCAUACUCAACGAAAACAUAUAUGCAUCAAUUUCAGAAUUUUAGUAUAUCAGAACAGAAGCAGACAUAAGUCCUUAUCAGAAUCAGAUUAUCAGAUACAUACAGAUAUGCAAAGUCCUACCCCAUCCUCUACACACAAUCUCCAACCAUCCCAACACACCACGUGGGGUAUGAAACACCCACCCAGCCCUACACACCACAUCGUAUUCGUACUACACUUAACAGGAUAGUUUGCGGUCAAGCUGUCAGUAUAUCGGCAAAAUGUCGACUCACAGAGCACUUAACAAGAUAGUUUCCAUAUAUACAAAUUCUACCCCAUACACAAAUACAAAUAACAAAUAAAAGAUAUAACAGAAUUAACAUAUCUUUCAUGCUUAUAUACAGGUAACAUACAUGUUAUUACGAACCAGUCUAAUCAUACAUAUAAAUUUCUAAAUGUUCAAAUCAGUCUAUCGAAAUAGCAUAUAUCAUGCAUUAGGGUUUGCCUUGCCCUUACCGACCCCAUGGAAGGCCCACAGUCGAUUGGAACGACUUAUGUGACCCUAGGAAAAUUUUUAACAUUUUGGGCCCACAUGGCUGUGUGGCCCACACGCCCAUGUAGCAUGACCAUGUGGCCCACAUACCCAAAUUGGCCUAGCCCGUGUGACCCACACAGCCACACACUCGCUUAUCACACGGUCGUGUGUCGCACAUGGCCGGCCACACACCCGUGUGGCGUCAAUAGACCGUUUUUUCAGCUUUCACCAAACCUUAUUUUCUCGUGUUUUUGUUACAUACCUGGUUCAUUUUCGAUGCAAAAUCAACCCCAAGACCAUCGAACCCUGAAAACAGCAUUCCAACGCUCAAUUUCAAUAUACAUUUAUGAAACUCAAACAAAAUUAUUCAAAAACAAAGCCUCAAAGUAAAAUCCAAUCGUAUUCACAAACUUACCACCGACGAACAGAAAACCACUAACACGGAUUAGGUUGUAGUAGCAAAAUCCUCAGCUUCACAAUCUUUUCCUACGCAACAUACUCACAGAGAUUAAUCUCCCUGACUACACACCAAUAUACCCAUUCAAAAGGAACGAAAACCAAAUGAAAGGAACUUCCAGACUUACCAAGAUGAACGAAAAACAACCGAACAUCGAACCCCAACAAUUAAAACGAUCGAUUGGUUGAACCGAAUAGAGAGAAAGCAAAGCAAACAGUAGUAGGGAAAGAAUUAAUCAAAAUAAAUGGUUUCAUUUUUGUAAUUUUCUAAUUGUUCCAAAAUCUUAUAAGUUGAAUUAAUCAAAUUCAAUUUUUCUCGUUCUAUCUCAGAGUAUCCAUUCACUCAAAACUGAUCCGUCUCCAUUUCUACUUUUCGUAAGCUGACCUGAGCAUUUUCCAGCCAUUCAAUAGCCCCCUCGUGUAGUUCUUCUGAAUUUUGAAUAGUAUUCAAGAUCCUCUCUUUUCGAUUAUCUAAUAAAUCACUUAAUGAAAGUUGAAUAUCUUUCCAUUCAUUUUUUUAUUUCAAAAAUUCCAUGUUCUCUUCCCAAACCAAACAUGAACCUUUCGAUUCAUUUGGCUCUCACACUCAAUUAUUUCUUAUUUAUUGGGAAUUAAUUUUGAAUAUCUUUUUUUCUAAUGUAAUGAGCUUACCCUAUCCCUCUCGUCUCUAUUCAUAUUCCAAAAUAUCGAAACUGAUUACUAACCCAAGACCAGAAUAUUCGGAGGAUUCUUCUGACCAAAAUAGAAAAUAUAUCAAAAAAUUAAAAAGUACAAUAAAAAAUAAAAAAUUUACAUAUAAUUUGAAAUUUCUAAUUGUACUUAGAAUUGUAUAAUGUAUAAUUGUAAUUUGUCAGCAAAGUUGUUUCUUUUUUUCUUCAAAUUCAAAGAAUUCUUCUCCCUUUAUACAUAGGUCAUCGAUUCAACAUUGGAAAAAGGGGUUCAAAUCGUUUUAUCGACAUAAGUGUUUGAACUUCAAACGGGUUUGGCCUUAACCAUGUUAAUGGUCCCAGAUUAUUGGUUAAUAGAGAAUCAAAGUCCAUCGUACCAAUGAAUCACGAAAUGAUAUGGUUCUAUAAUAUGAUUUUAAAAAUUUAUUCAGAAGUAAUUCGCGGGAUCAUGCACUCUUUUCUUUCCUAGUUAUAAUGAAAAAAAGUACAACUGGGUGAAUCCAACCUAUUCUUGAAAUAAACAACUCGCACACACUCCCUUUCCAAAAAAGAUCAAUACACCAAGGACUACACUUAGAUUCAUUGGAUUUGUUGCUAAAAUAUCGGUAUUAACCCCGAAACUCCCGGCGGAUGGCCAGUGACCCAAGGAAACGAAAGAAUCGGUUAAAUUUUUUAUAUGAUCUCCUAUUUUAUUUUAGAUAGACCUUUUUUUUGUAUUAUAUCGCUUUGACUCCUUUUCCAUUUAUUCUAUUCUAUCAUAUUUAUAUUAUUCUAAUUAUUCUAAUUCUAUGUAUUUCUUUUUUUGUUUUAAUAAUUA
rnacentral:lncRNA from 1 species